UACGAGGGGGGCAAGCGUUGUUCGGAAUUAUUGGGCGUAAAGGGCGCGUAGGCGGCUUGGCAAGUGGAAGGUGAAAUCCCUCGGCUUAACCGAGGAACUGCCCUCCAAACUGCUUGGCUUGAGACCGGGAGAGGUGAGUGGAAUUCCCAGUGUAGCGGUGAAAUGCGUAGAUAUUGGGAGGAACACCAGUGGCGAAGGCGGCUCACUGGACCGGUACUGACGCUGAUGCGCGAAAGCGUGGGGAGCAAACGGG
rnacentral:rRNA from 1 species